CCUACGGGAGUCAGCAGUGGGGAAUAUUGCGCAAUGGGCGAAAGCCUGACGCAGCGACGCCGCGUGAGUGAUGAAGGUCUUCGGAUCGUAAACCUCUGUCAGCAGGGAAGAACGGUCACUGUGCUAAUCAUCAGUGAAUUGACGGUACCUGCAAAGGAAGCACCGGCUAACUCCGUGCCAGCAGCCGCGGUAAUACGGAGGGUGCGAGCGUUAAUCGGAAUUACUGGGCGUAAAGCGCUCGUAGGCGGUAUGUCAAGUCAAGGGUGAAAUCCCCGCGCUCAACGUGGGAACUGCAUUUGAUACUGGCAAACUUGAGUGUGUGAGAGGAGAGUGGAAUUCCAGGGGUAGGAGUGAAAUCCGUAGAUAUCUGGAGGAACAUCAGUGGCGAAGGCGACUAUCUGGCACAUAACUGACGCUGAGGAGCGAAAGCGUGGGUAGCAAACAGGAUUAGAUACCCCAGUAGUC
rnacentral:rRNA from 1 species